UGUCACAGAGGUAGCACCGACUCCUGACACUUUUAUCCUUCCGGAAUUUCAUAGUCAUUAAAUAUACUAGUCAGGGCCACGUUUUAAACUCUAGCUCUGCGACUUCAAUCAUUCGCUUACUAGAUAUUCCUCUUGCUACCAUCUAUCUGCUAUCUUCAAGAACGAACCUUUUACUGCUGCUGUACUUUGAAAACUUUAUUGAGCCUUGAAGAAAGCCACUAAAAGUCUCGCUAUUCAAAUUUGAAACGUGGAGCUAUCAGCAGUAGCAAAGAUGCGAAUGUAGAAAUGAGUUUUUAUGAAAAAUUCGAAGCUUAUGACACUGCAACUGGAAGCUGGUUUGAUUCUGAAAUUAAUGCUCUGCUUAUGUUCGUUGAGAGUAUGGCUGGUGUUUGAAAAAAUAGAAUUAAAUGAAAAAAUGUAUCGAAUGCUGAGUGAAAGACAGAUGUGUUGGUUGGAGUUUUUGCCUGGUGAGAACGCAGGUGUACGAGUAGUUAGAAGCUGUAUACAAGACUCAUCGAAUGGUUGAAAAUUGAACUUGGUUGAAUUGGUGGCAACUGCCAAAUUAUUUCAAGUAUUAUUUAUUUUCUGCUAUGCUUAAAAUUUCAAUUAAGUUCAUUAGCUCUAUUAGACUUUGCGCACUUGAGUAUUUUCCAAUAAAAAAAUUUCUAUUUUUUAAAUAAAAUUUAAGUUAAGAAAUAAAUAGAUUAUUUAAAUCAGAUUAAUGAUAGAAUGAGAUGACAACAGUUUUUUAAAAAUAAUUAUAACUUUUUUUAUUCAUAUAUUUUCAAUAUAAAUAAUUAUUAGAUUUUAUAAUAAAAAAUAUUUUUAGAGCUCAUUUUUAGUUUGACGCUUAGUCAUUCCGCCGAGACUAGACAAGUUGCCGUAUCUUGAUCCUGAAGAAAUCAAAAUACUGGUGGCCUGUGUGGUCAAGGCUGAACCAGCGGUCGCGUUUCACGUUAAAAUCAUUUUUUAUUUUGAAAAUUUAGGGUCAAAAUGAGCUCAUUUAAGAAAAUGAACAGUAAAUUUAAAGUUUUGAUAAUUAGUUCAGAGGUUAAUUAGUGGUGGGGCCUUGCAGUGCCAGGGAUCUGGCUGCCGUCGGGUCACCACUGAAUGCUCCUUCAGGACAUUUAUUAAUCCGACGAUAGACCUCACAGCGAGUUGGCCACUAUGGGCACAUCCCUUUUUAGGGUUCUGCAUUAUCACUAAAAAUAGCGAGCAGAUAGAGCCGUUCGGUUUCGUACUGUUGGGCGUGCAGAGUUGACAGUAUGGACAGCACGCAGUCAUUGAAUUGAGAAGUUGCAUAUUUUGUAGUUUAUUUUUUUUUUUUAGUUUAAUGAAUUUAACAGUUUUUUAAAAAUGCUAAUUUAACAUUUUAAAAUAUAAAUCAACGCAGCUUCUCUGUUCAAAAUGAUUCUCUAUCUGCUACAGUCUCCGAAUCGGUCGCUUUUCCGACAGAGUCACUGUGUCCCCCAGUUUCUUCAGAACUCGUGGAUGCACCUCUGUAGUAAGGGCAACUGGGCCGGAAUCGGCUGUUGGGGGGACUCUUCCAGAUUUGAAGUAGUGAAAAUAUUGAGCACUUCUUACUAGUGAAUGUACGUCGCUCUUGAAAAACACCGGUUUGCAUCGCUCUGGUAAUUGGUGUAUUUUCCCUAGUUCAUUUUUAGGGAGAUGGGAAGCUAAAUGUGCGCUGGUGCAGUUAAACGAUGCCUGUCCCAAGUGUGUCACCGAGGGAGAGGAUUCACCGGAGUUUUAAAUGUUGUGAGCACCUAGAGUCAUUUUUUGUCCGCCGUUAUUUUAUUUAUUACUAUAUUACAUUACAUUAGGGGAGCCUGGGGCACGAAGGCCCCCUUAAGCCGGUUUUUUCUUUUUGUGGCUUUUAACCAUAAAAUUCAUUUAUUUUCCGUCGAUAUCGAAAGAAUAAGUAGAAAUUUUGCAAAAAAUCGAAAAAAAAAUUUGUUUUUUUUCUGGGGCACGAAGGCCUCCUCUCCAAAAAAUUAUCAACAAAAAUUUUUUUUUUAUUUCCCGUUAAGUUAUGACCUUUAUAAUGUUUUUAUGACGUUUUAGGCCAGUAUGUGAUGUAUGAGGUAAAAUGGACCAUUAAAAAAAAAAAAUUGUCACAAAAAAAUUAACUUGACGGAAAAUAAAAAAAAAAUAAUUUUUUCUUUAUAAUUUUUUUUUCGAGUUGUCCGUUUUGCCCCUCAUAUCACAUAUUGACUUAAAAUAUAAUAAAAACAUUAUAAAGGUCAUACU